GGGGAUGCAACUUGGUGGUAGAGUUAUUGCCUGGCAUAUGAAAGUUCUUGGGUUCAAUUCCCAGCAUCACCA
rnacentral:tRNA from 1 species